AUUCGAAACAUAAUCUCUGAUGUUAGUGUUGAUGUCUGUGCUGAGGCUUGCCGUUUAAAUUGAAAAUAUGUGGGAGUGAUUGAGGGAUGCUGUGCUUUGCUAGAAACUGCAGCACACACACGGACAGCAGUGACGCUCAAGGUGUUGGAUAGAAAAACCUUUCACUUUUUAUGCAUUUGAGAAGGUGCUAUGAAGAAGCAGAAUCAACAGGGGCUGAAGUAAUGACGGGAAAACUGAACUGUUUGUUGUGUCAUCAGGCAGACAGCACAUGAAUUACCAGAUGUGAUCCAAUAAACUCCAAGACCAGCACACAAAAAUUGGAAGAUGGAACUGUUGUCCUGUUGAAAAGCUUUUGGAGAAAGAGAUAAUGCAGCAGUGAAACAUCUGGAGCAAACUUCAACCAACACUGACAAUCAAGAUUGUGUGACUCGAUCAGUUUGGCUUCGAAAAAAAUG